GAUGAAGAACGUAGCGAAAUGCGAUAAGUAAUGUGAAUUGCAGAAUUCAGUGAAUCAUCGAAUCUUUGAACGCACAUUGCGCCCGCCAGUAUUCUGGCGGGCAUGCCUGUCCGAGCGUCAUUUCAACCCUCGAACCCCUCCGGGGGGUCGGCGUUGGGGAUCGGCCCUUUCACCGGGUGCCGUCCCCCAAAUACAGUGGCGGUCUCGCCGCAGCCUCUCAUGCGCAGUAGUUUGCACACUCGCACCGGGAGCGCGGCGCGUCCACGUCCGUAAAACACCCCAAACUUCUGAAAUGUUGACCUCGGAUCAGGUAGGAAUACCCGCUGAACUUAAGCAUACAAUAAGCGGAGGA
rnacentral:misc_RNA from 1 species